rnacentral:rRNA from 1 species
CAGAGGCCACGAGCGUUAGGCGGAAUCACUGGGCUUAAAGCGUGUGUAGGCGGACCCGUAAGUGUCUUGUGAAAUCCCACGGCUCAACCGUGGAACUGCUGGGCAUACUGCGGGUCUUGAGCCGGCCAGGGGUCACCGGAACAAGCGGUGGAGCGGUGAAAUGCGUAGAUAUCGCUUGGAACGCCGACGGUGAAAACGGGUGACUGGGGCCGCGCUGACGCUGAGACACGAAAGCCAGGGGAGCGAAGGGGAUUAGAUACCCCGGUAGUCCUGGCCCUAAACGAUGUCCACUAGAUCGCAGGACCUCUGACGGUCUUGCGGUCGGAGCAAAAGUGUUAAGUGGACCGCCUGGGAAGUACGGUCGCAAGGCUA